CGUGCCUAAUGCAUGCGAGUCGCACGAGGCUUCGGCCUAGUGGCGGACGGGUGAGUAACACGUAGGAACCUGCCCGGAAGUGGGGGGAUAAACUCCUCGAAAGAGGAGCUAAUACCGCAUACGGUCUACGGACCAAAGCAGCAAUGCGCUUUCGGAGGGGCCUGCGGUGGAUUAGCUAGUUGGUGGGGUAAUGGCCUACCAAGGCGACGAUCCAUAGCUGGUCUGAGAGGACGGCCAGCCACACUGGACUGAGACACGGCCCAGACUCC
rnacentral:rRNA from 1 species